AUAUGUAGCUACGGUAUGACUUCACUGUGGUAUUCCCAUCCCACAACCCUCCGCGGGCUGGAAUGAAGUGAGGAGGCGGUGAGCAGUUUGUGUGGAGCUGAUGACAUGGGCUGGAGAACUCCACUGAAUGGAAAAGCUACUUCGACUUCAACUGGCUUGGAGAAGAAAAACAGUGAUUUAACUGGGCGAAAAUAGUUUACUUCAGCAAAACUGGCUAGAAUUAGUUGAUACAAGCAAUCGUUCUAUUUUGGCUGAUUGUCUAAAUUGCCAGAAUAUUAGCAAAAGGUAUGCGUAAGUUAACUAACGUUAGCCAAGUCUGUAGUUUAAUUAGCCUAGCUAGCUAGCUAGCUAGCUAACUUUAGUUAGCUAAAAUGUACACACUACAGAUUGGAAGGGACGCUCGUAGUUUUUGGGGAACUUUCCACGAGUUUAUUACAUUGCAUUGAUGUCUCCUUUUUGAGUUAUGCUUUCAAGAAAGAAAAGUAAAAGCGAGGCGUCGAAACCAGCGGAAGUACACGGGAAAUAUGUGAAGAAGGAGACUUCACCAGUCCUGAGAAAUCUCAUGCCCUCAUUCAUCCGACAUGGACCCACUAUUCCCAGACGCACCGAAGUCCCUCUGCCGGAGCCUGGUCCCUCAGCCUACCCUGUGGGAAACAGCCCUGAACCUGUGGUGGUCCGCAACAAGAGUUUCCUGCGCGCCCCUGUGCAGAGACCACCCCACGAGGUGGCUCGGAGGGAGAGCCAUAGGAUGUCAGCCCCUCCGUACCUGCCACGUAGCCUGGGGGAUAUAACCCACGAGUACGGAGGCUCCUCGCAGUCCUUCCUCACGGACGUGAGCGCCGUGGCUGAGAACGGUGACGCUGGACGCUACUACUACCCCCCGCCUCCGGAACCUUACUACGACAGCCAGCAGCAGCAGCAGCAGCAGAGACGGCCUCAGCCCAGGCCCCAGCAGCCCAGAGCACCUGAACGCUUCCAUGAGGACUAUAGAUACUAUGAACAUAACGAACAUCCAAACUUCCAAAGACUACCACCACCACAACAACACACUUCGCCGACCCCAAACAGACCGCCAACAGGUAUUGGUCGGAUGCAGGCUAAGUCUCUGGGGAACCUGUCCAGUCCGAGCGGCGAGGACCUCCCCCUGCCCCGCGGUUGGACGGUAGACUGGACCAUCCGAGGCAGGAAGUACUACAUCGACCACAACACCAACACCACCCACUGGUCCCACCCCCUGGAGAGAGAGGGUCUGCCCCCUGGCUGGGAGAAGGUGGAGUCAGCUGAGUUUGGGACCUACUACGUGGACCACCUCAACAAGAGGGCUCAGUAUAGACACCCCUGUGCUCCUAGCGUGCCUCGUUAUGACCAGCCCCCUCCCCUGCCCCCUCCGGUAGUGUACCAGCCUCGCCCCUCGGAGAGGAACCAUCCGGUACUGGUACCAGCCAACCCGUACCACACGGCAGAGAUCCCUGACUGGCUACAGGUGUAUGCCCGCGCCCCGCUCAAGUAUGACCACAUCCUGAAGUGGGAGCUGUUCCAGCUGGUGGAUCUGGACACGUACCAGGGCAUGUUGAAGCUGCUCUUCAUGAAGGAACUGGAGCGCAUCGUCAAGUCCUACGAGGCCUACCGUCAGGCCCUGCUGUCUGAGGUGGACCAAAGGAAACCGAGGCAGCAGUGGUACACACAGGCCCAGCAGCAGUCGGGCAAGAACUUCACAGGGAACAUGUGAACUGGGUCGUAAAUUCACUAGGAAGCAAACGGGGGAGAAAACAAAGAAGGACCUACCUGAAUUUGUCCAAUAAUAAACCAGUUGGUUGUUGCUAAACAGUUUGCUACGGUGUGCACUAAUGAAUACAACCCCGAAUUGACUGGACGGAGGAAUGGGACUCUGUGCUAGCUCAACAUUGGACUUUGAGGACUCUCAUUCUACACUGUUCAUACGAAGUUCAGCCCUGGUGAACUGUUGUCCCACCCCUCGGAGGUUACUACAGCACAGAGAUCUCCUCCUCCUGAGGUUACUACAGUACAGAGAUCUCCUCCUCCUGAGGUUACUACAGUACAGAGAUCUCCUCCUCCUGAGGUUACUACAGCACAGAGAUCUCCUCCUGAGGUUACUACAGUACAGAGAUCUCCUCCUGAGGUUACUACAGCACAGAGAUCUCCUCCUCCUGAGGUUACUACAGCACAGAAAUCUCCUCCUGAGGUUACUACAGCACAGAGAUCUCCUCCUGAGGUUACUACAGCACAGAGAUCUCCUCCUGAGGUUACUACAGCACAGAGAUCUCCUCCUGAGGUUACUACAGCACAGAGAUCUCCUCCUGAGGUUACUACAGCACAGAGAUCUCCUCCUGAGGUUACUACAGCACAGAGAUCUCCUCCUGAGGUUACUACAGCACAGAGAUCUCCUCCUGAGGUUACUACAGCACAGAGAUCUCCUCCUGAGGUUACUACAGCACAGAGAUCUCCUCCUGAGGUUACUACAGCACAGAGAUCUCCUCCUGAGGUUACUACAGCACAGAGAUCUCCUCCUGAGGUUACUACAGCACAGAGAUCUCCUCCUGAGGUUACUACAGUACAGAGAUCUCCUCCUCCUGAGGUUACUACAGUACAGAGAUCUCCUCCUCCUGAGGUUACUACAGUACAGAGAUCUCCUCCUCCUGAGGUUACUACAGCACAGAGAUCUCCUCCUGAGGUUACUACAGCACAGAGAUCUCCUCCUGAGGUUACUACAGUACAGAGAUCUCCUCCUCCUGAGGUUACUACAGUACAGAGAUCUCCUCCUCCUGAGGUUACUACAGUACAGAGAUCUCCUCCUCCUGAGGUUACUACAGCACAGAGAUCUCCUCCUCCUGAGGUUACUACAGUAGGUUUCUACAGUAGGUUUCUACAGUCCUCCUCUGGCUCUGUUUUCUAAAGGCAGGAAGAUUACAGGCUGACAGAUCUGCUUGUUUGAAUGUCCAUAAAUGACUAUAAUAAGAUGACAGGUUGAGAUUGUGCCUUUUCAUCAAUGGCAGCACUUGCUUGUUAUUUUUUUAAAUAUUUUUUUGCUUUGUAAAAUUAUAUUAAAACAAUUCCAUUUAAGGAGAGCAGGACCAGCAGUGUUGCCUUAGGAACUCGUUUCCAUAUGAAUUCUGCUUCAUAAAUGUUUUUUGUAAUUGUAUCUCGCCCCAUAAAA